rnacentral:rRNA from 1 species
AACGUAGGAGGCAAGCGUUAUCCGGAGUUACUGGGCGUAAAGCGCGUGUAGGCGGCUCGGUAAGUGGGUCGUGAAAGCGCCCGGCUAAACUGGGCGAGGACGAUCGAGACUGCCAGGCUAGAGGGUGGUAGAGGGACAGGGAAUUCCGGGUGUAGCGGUGAAAUGUGUAGAGAUCCGGAGGAACACCAGUGGCGAAGGCGCUGUCCUGGGCCACCUCUGACGCUGAUACGCGAAGGCGUGGGGAGCGAACGGG